rfam:Gossypium hirsutum cultivar TM-1 chromosome 20, whole genome shotgun sequence
UGUUGAAAAUUUCAUUUAUUAGUACUAUUAAAAAUUAGUAUGGCGACAAAAUAAUCAAAGAAUGACAUGUGGUGUGUUAUAUGUAUCUCAUAUUGAUGUACAAGAACCAACUUUUAACAAUAAAAAUAGAUGAAUUUUUUAAUA